ACUCCUGGUCCACCAUCGCCCCUCGAGUGCUACUAUCGCCUUUUACUAUAGUAACCCGGGUGGUGGAUCAAAUUGAGAAACUUAGCUUUUUCUAAACUCUGCCUUCGGGUGGAGU